rnacentral:rRNA from 1 species
UACGUAGGGUGCAAGCGUUGUCCGGAAUUAUUGGGCGUAAAGAGCUCGUAGGCGGUCUGUCGCGUCGGCUGUGAAAACCCGGGGCUCAACCCCGGGUCUGCAGUCGAUACGGGCAGGCUAGAGUGUGGUAGGGGAGAUCGGAAUUCCUGGUGUAGCGGUGAAAUGCGCAGAUAUCAGGAGGAACACCGGUGGCGAAGGCGGAUCUCUGGGCCAUUACUGACGCUGAGGAGCGAAAGCGUGGGGAGCGAACAGG